GUUCGGACUGUAGGCUGCAACUCGCCUACACGAAGUCGGAAUCGCUAGUAAUCGCGGAUCAGCAUGCCGCGGUGAAUACGUUCCCGGGCCUUGUACACACCGCCCGUCACACCAUGGAAGUUUGCAAUGCCCAAAGUCGGUGGCCUAACCAUUUGGAGGGAACCGCCUAAGGCAGGGCAGAUGACUGGGGUGAAGUCGUAACAAGGUAGC
rnacentral:rRNA from 1 species